rnacentral:rRNA from 1 species
UACGGAGGAUUCAAGCGUUAUCCGGAUUUAUUGGGUUUAAAGGGUGCGUAGGCGGUCGGAUAAGUUAGAGGUGAAAUCCCGCGGCUCAACCGCGGAACUGCAUUUGAAACUGUUUUUCUUGAGUAUCGGAGAGGUAACCGGAAUUCCUAGUGUAGCGGUGAAAUGCGUAGAUAUUAGGAAGAACACCAGUGGCGAAGGCGGGUUACUGGACGACAACUGACGGUGAGGCGCGAAAGCGUGGGGAGCAAACAGG